rnacentral:rRNA from 1 species
AAAGGAAUUGACGGGACCCCGCACAAGCGGUGGAUCAUGUUGUUUAAUUCGAUGAUACGCGAAGAACCUUACCGGGUCUUGACAUCCCCCGCGAUGCUUUAGAGAUAAAGCGGAGGUAUUCGGGGAGACAGGUGGUGCAUGGUUGUCGUCAGCUCGUGUCGUGAGAUGUUGGGUUAAGUCCCGCAACGAGCGCAACCCCUAUUGCUAGUUACCAUCAUUAAGUUGGGGACUCUAGCGAGACUGCCAGUGAUAAACUGGAGGAAGGUGGGGAUGACGUCAAAUCAUCAUGCCCCUUAUGACCUGGGCUACAAACGUGAUACAAUGGCUGGAACAAAGGGAUGCGAAGCAGUGAUGUGGAGCGAAACCCAUAAAAACAGUCUCAGUUCGGAUUGAAGUCUGCAACUCGACUUCAUGAAGUCGGAAUCGCUAGUAAUCGCGGAUCAGAACGCCGCGGUGAAUACGUUCUCGGGGUUU